rnacentral:rRNA from 1 species
UACGAGUGCUUCAAGCGUUAUCCGGAAUCAUUGGGCGUAAAGGGUGCGUAGGUGGCAAUGUUAGUCUCCCGUAAAAUCUUUCGGCUCAACCGAGAGUCUGCUGGAGAAACGGCAUUGCUUGAGGACGAGAGAGGUUUCUGGAACUCAUAGUGUAGCGGUGAAAUGCGUUGAUAUUAUGGGGAACACCAAAAGCGAAGGCAAGAAACUGGCUCGCUCCUGACACUGAGGCACGAAAGCGUGGGUCGCGAAUGGGG